rnacentral:rRNA from 1 species
UACGUAGGGUGCGAGCGUUAAUCGGAAUUACUGGGCGUAAAGGGUGCGCAGGCGGUCUCGUAAGCUGGGUGUGAAAGCCCCGGGCUUAACCUGGGAAUGGCAUUCAGGACUGCGAGGCUUUGAGUGUGGCAGAGGGAGGUGGAAUUCCACGUGUAGCAGUGAAAUGCGUAGAGAUGUGGAGGAACACCGAUGGCGAAGGCAGCCUCCUGGGCCAGCACUGACGCUCAUGCACGAAAGCGUGGGGAGCAACAGG